rnacentral:rRNA from 1 species
AAAUUGAAGAGUUUGAUCAUGGCUCAGAUUGAACGCUGGCGGCAGGCCUAACACAUGCAAGUCGAACGGUAACAGGAAGCAGCUUGCUGCUUCGCUGACGAGUGGCGGACGGGUGAGUAAUGUCUGGGAAACUGCCUGAUGGAGGGGGAUAACUACUGGAAACGGUAGCUAAUACCGCAUAACGUCGCAAGACCAAAGAGGGGGACCUUCGGGCCUCUUGCCAUCGGAUGUGCCCAGAUGGGAUUAGCUAGUAGGUGGGGUAACGGCUCACCUAGGCGACGAUCCCUAGCUGG